rnacentral:sRNA from 1 species
GCUGGGUGUGGUGAUGCACACCUGUAAUCCCAGCAACUCAGGAGGCUGAAUCAGGAGGGUCACAAGGUUGGGACCAGCCUUAGCAAUUUAGUGAGACCCCCAUCUC